AGAGUUUGAUCCUGGCUCAGAUUGAACGCUGGCGGCAGGCCUAACACAUGCAAGUCGAGCGCGAAAGGUCUUCGGACUGAGUAGAGCGGCGGACGGGUGAGUAACGCGUAGGAAUCUACCUGGUAGUGGGGGACAACUUGGGGAAACUCAAGCUAAUACCGCAUACGCCCUAAGGGGGAAAGUGGGGGAUCUUCGGACCUCACGCUAUCGGAUGAGCCUGCGUAGGAUUAGCUAGUUGGUGAGGUAAAGGCUCACCAAGGCGACGAUCCUUAGCUGGUCUGAGAGGAUGAUCAGCCACACUGGGACUGAGACACGGCCCAGACUCCUACGGGAGGCAGCAGUGGGGAAUAUUGCGCAAUGGGGGCAACCCUGACGCAGCCAUGCCGCGUGUGUGAAGAAGGCCUUAGGGUUGUAAAGCACUUUCAAUUGGGAAGAAAAGUUGGUCGUUAAUAGCGGCCAGCCCUGACAUUACCUUUAGAAGAAGCACCGGCUAACUCCGUGCCAGCAGCCGCGGUAAUAAGGGCGAAUUC
rnacentral:rRNA from 1 species